rnacentral:tRNA from 1 species
GGAGGGGUGGUCGAGUGGUUUAUGGCUCCGGUCCUGAAAACCGGCAGGCCGAGAGGCCUCGUGGGUUCGAAUCCCACCCCCUCCG